AACGAACGCUGGCGGCAGGCCUAACACAUGCAAGUCGAGCGAGCAUUUCGGUGCUAGCGGCGGACGGGUGAGUAACGCGUGGGAACGUGCCCUUUUCUGCGGAAUAGUCCUGGGAAACUGGGGGUAAUACCGCAUACGCCCUUUUGGGGAAAGAUUUAUCGGAGAAGGAUCGGCCCGCGUUGGAUUAGGUAGUUGGUGGGGUAAUGGCCCACCAAGCCGACGAUCCAUAGCUGGCUUGAGAGGAUGAUCAGCCACACUGGGACUGAGACACGGCCCAGACUCCUACGGGAGGCAGCAGUGGGGAAUCUUAGACAAUGGGGGCAACCCUGAUCUAGCCAUGCCGCGUGAGUGAUGAAGGCCUUAGGGUUGUAAAGCUCUUUCAGCUGGGAAGAUAAUGACGGUACCAGCAGAAGAAGCCCCGGCUAACUCCGUG
rnacentral:rRNA from 1 species